UACAGAGGUCUCAAGCGUUGUUCGGAUUCAUUGGGCGUAAAGGGUGCGUAGGCGGCGCGGUAAGUCGGGUGUGAAAUCUUGGAGCUUAACUCCGAAACUGCAUUCGAUACUGGCGUGCUUGAGGACUGGAGAGGAGACUGGAAUUCAUGGUGUAGCAGUGAAAUGCGUAGAGAUCAUGAGGAAGACCAGUGGCGAAGGCGGGUCUCUGGACAGUUCCUGACACUGAGACACGAAGGCUAGGGGAGCAAACGGG
rnacentral:rRNA from 1 species